GCAAAUAAUUGGCGUCCUUCUGACAUGAGAAGACCCAGAACAAACAAUUCAUAUCCCUUCAGAGUCUUCAAAACCAAAGAAAGAAACAGGAGACAGAUUUCUUCCAUGCAGCAAUAAAGAUGUGAUGCAUCGAUUCCCGAACGUACUCCCCGUUGACUCCAGAACUCCACCAGGGCGAGAGGCGGAAGCAGAGUCGACGGGGGAGCAGCGGCCGUCAAUCCUGCGCUGCAAGAACGCAAAAGAGUACCAGAACCUACAAUGAAGAAAUACCCAAGAUGUACCAAAAUUACUUUAAUAUACGAGUCACAGCUACUGGGAUAACUGCACCUCUGACCCCUCCUGGUCUUUAAGAGUAUGUCUACACAUCAACGAGGCACCCAUGGCUGGCCAGUGCCAGCUGAAAGUGGGAGAAAGUGUCUACACAGCAGCUAAGCACCCGUGGCUGGCCCAUGCCAGCUGACUUGGACUUCUGGGACUCAGGAUGCAGGGCUGUUUCAGGAUUUGUGUCAUCACCUCUCAAUGUGGAAUCAUAAGGUUCUUCCACUUUCAGAUAAGAUCUUGGGCUGUGUAGUGCCAAGGACUGGGCUUUCUAGGGCUGAGCUUAGCAGAUCACCACCACAGGCUAUAGUACCCAGGUGCUAACCAUGAUUAUCUGAGCAGGCCUGACUUCAGUUCAAGUAUCCACAAUCCUCUUCCCGCUAGGAGCCAUAACAGUGGUGUCCACCAGAAAGUCUUCUUAAAGCAAAGUAUUGUAUUUAGAACCAAAGAAACAGAUCUCAAAAUAGUCUGUACACUUGCCUGUCUUUUCCUAGCGUUUACCAUUCCCUGGAAGCUGGGGAAAGCUUCCAUUUGCAUUCAGACACUCCUGCAGGACCUGUCUCUCAUCUCAGUUUGUGCCACCAUGAACUGCACCCUCAUACUCCCUCUUUCUCUCCAUACAGUCCUUUUAACCACCUAGUGUCCCUUUCAACUCAACUCCCAGCACUGGCAAAAUAAGGCUUUAAUUUAACAGCUUUUCAUAUUGUCUUUCAAGUGUGUGCCCGGAUGCUCUUAUUUGGGAGCCUCUGUCUUGCCUUUUUCCUUGUUUUGCCAACAGCUCCCUAUUGUGUUAAGCUAAUGCAUUCAUACAGGAAAGUAAUAACCCAAAAUAUCUAUACAGUAACUUACUGCAUGUAACUUAGCAAAGUUUUCAUCUAAUUAUUUAUCCAUAUUUUUGGAUUACACAGCAGCUCCAUGUUAGCUACAAUCUGUUUAUACAACAUUGUUGCAAAUCAA